rnacentral:piRNA from 1 species
CCCAGGAACUGUUAUUAAUGAGCAAAAAGU